rnacentral:rRNA from 1 species
UGGGGAAUAUUGCACAAUGGGGGAAACCCUGAUGCAGCGACGCCGCGUGAAGGAAGAAGUAUCUCGGUAUGUAAACUUCUAUCAGCAGGGAAGACAAUGACGGUACCUGACUAAGAAGCCCGGCUAACUACGUGCC